rnacentral:rRNA from 1 species
UACGUAGGGUGCGAGCGUUAAUCGGAAUUACUGGGCGUAAAGUGUGCGCAGGCGGCAGAGCAAGUCGAGUGUGAAAUCCCCAGGCUUAACCUGGGAACUGCGUCGGAUACUGGAUGGCUUGAAUUCGGGAGAGGGAUGCAGAAUUCCAGGUGUAGCGGUGAAAUGCGUAGAUAUCUGGAGGAAUACCGGUGGCGAAGGCGGCAUCCUGGACCGACAUUGACGCUGAUGAGCGAAAGCUAGGGGAGCAAACGGG